rnacentral:rRNA from 1 species
UGGCUCGAGGACGACGCUGGCGGUGUGCUUCACACAUGCAAGUCGAACGAGGUAGCAAUACCUAGUGGCGGACGGGUGAGUAACGCGUGGGAAUCUGCCUUUAGAUGGGGGAUAACGGGUCGAAAGACUCGCUAAUACCGCAUAUGACGAAAGUUGAAAGGAGUAAUCCGUCUAAAGAUGAGCCCGCGUCCGAUUAGCUAGUUGGUAGAGUAAAAGCCUACCAAGGCGACGAUCGGUAGCUGGUCUGAGAGGAUGAUCAGCCACAAUGGGACUGAGACACGGCCCAUACUCCUACGGGAGGCAGCAGUGGGAAUUUUACGCAAUGGGCGAAAGCCUGACGUAGCGACACCGCGUGAGCGAAGAAGCCCCUUGGGGUGUAAAGCUCUGUCAGCUGGAACGAAAAAAUGACGGUACCAGCAGAGGAAGCAUCGGCUAACUACGUG